AAACUGAAUACGACAGCAGGUGCCUUUUUAUGCCGCCGUUCGGCGCAUGGGAAAGGGUAAAAGGGAAGCGGGUGCAAAUCCCGCACGAUCUCGUCACUGUGAUAAGGGAGCCUGCCGCCAGGGUGCAUUUGCACCGGUCACUGGGUUUUGACCCGGGAAGGCGGCGGCAGGCGUUGAGCUUUCAGCCAGGAAACCUGCCUGCUGCCGGGUACGGGG
rnacentral:ncRNA from 2 species